rnacentral:tRNA from 1 species
UGUGGUUGUGGCUCAGUGGUAGUGCUCAACUAGUGCGUGUGAGGCUGUGUGUUCGAUCCUCAGCACCACAA